GUCCGGGUGGCUUAGUGGUCAAGAGCAUCUGCCUAGUAAGCAGGAGACCCGGGUUCGAAUACCGGUCCGGUCU